UCACUGCUGACGAGUCCCAAAUAAGACGAAACAGCUGUCCAGUGC
rnacentral:hammerhead_ribozyme from 1 species